ACAGUGCCGGCACCAGGGGGUGAUGGCAACUCUGACGCACCCUGGCCCCCAGGGACCACCACCGGCAGGGGAAGGCCCAGGUCCGGGGGAGGACAGGCCACGGGAAAGGAAGCCCUUUGGGGACCAGCACAGCAGGCUGUGUGGCCUGAAGCAAGUCACUUAACCUCUCUGAGACUUGGCUUCCUCAUCCUCACCAUAGCCUCACCAUACUGCUGCUCCAAGAAGAGAAGGCAAAUUCGCACCUGAUACUUUAAUGAUGUUUUACAAGAGCCUUCACAUUAUCUUAUUUGUCACAACAAGCAGUCUUUAUUCUCAUUUUGCAGAAGAGCCUUGAAGCUCUGAGAAAUUAGGAUACUAGCCCAUGGUGUCCUAGCAGCACUGAGACUGAAAACCAGAACUUUCUUCCUCUUUUUUCCCUCCUACAAGCACAGAGCUUAAUUUUCAAGACAUUUAAAAAAAUCUGUCCCAGUUCAGGGCACUGAACAUUGGGAGCCAGGCUGACCGGCCACACAUGUGGCCUUGGGGCAGGUCCACUGCUUCUUUCUCACUCAGCUAGGAAGCACACCAAACAAGGAUGAGUCCAGGGUUCCCUUCCCGACAUUACUGCCUCCUUUGCUGAGUUGCGAUGAGGGGCAGCAGAGGCUGGGUGAAGGCCAAGGCGAGGACCUGGAGCACCUGCACAGGUGGGGAGGUCUGCAGACACCGGUGGGACCCUUUCUCGCUGCCCUGGAACAAGCUCCAGCGUCAGUGUGCCAAGAGAUGUCUGCAAGCUCCAAUAAAUACCGUCCCA